UACGAGGGGGGCAAGCGUUGUUCGGAAUUACUGGGCGUAAAGGGCGCGUAGGCGGCCGUUUGCGUCGGAUAUGAAAGCCCGGGGCUCAACCCCGGAACGGCAUCCGAUACGGGACGGCUGGAGACCGGGAGAGGAGGGUGGAAUAGCCAGUGUAGAGGUGAAAUUCGUAGAUAUUGGCUGGAACACCGGUGGCGAAAGCGGCUCUCUGGCCCGGUUCUGACGCUGAGGCGCGAAAGCGUGGGGAGCAAACAGG
rnacentral:rRNA from 1 species